UCUUCUUCUUCUCGGGCUCCUCCAUCACUUUUCAAUUUCUUAUUCUUCUCUCCUCCAUUACUUAUUAAUUUCUUAUUCUGCUCUCUUCUUCUUCUCCCUAAACUCUCUGACUCUUCUUUUAAUUUCUUAUUCUUCCUCUUCUCUCUUCUUCUUCUCUCAAAAAACUCUCCGACUCUUCUGAGAUGUAGAAGUCAUCACUGUCUCUUACUUAGUCUAAGAUGCCUCUGUCACCUGCUCUUACUGAGACAUAGGAUUCCUCGAUGAGAUAGAGACUACGCCGCUGUUGCCGACUCAUCACCACCGUCGGUUCCCAGCUUCUUAGAGACGGCAACGAUCUCCAUCCACGCCGAUCUGUAGGAUCUGAGUCUCUGAGUCAAAGAGGAAGAUGACGACGUCUGGGAUCGUAACUGCCAGAACGAGCAAAGAGAGAAGAGGUUGCCCUCAGAGUGAGCUGUUGCCGUCUUGGUGGUGGCUGUUAGGAACCGGAAGAUGGCAACAACCGAACCGAUUGGCUUCGGUUCGGUUCCACAACGGUUUCAGAAAUUUUUACCGUCAAACCCGAACCGAUUUCAUAAAAUGAUUUCGGUGACGGUUCCUUGCAAUUUUAACAGGACCCGAACCGAUCCCAGGCCUACUAGAUCGGUUGUGAGGUUUAAUUGGUCAUCGUAAAACGCAUAGACCUACCUUCCUGCUCCAUAGCAACAUCCUCAAACACAACAAAAGGCUCUUCCUCCUCCUCCACCUCCUCCUUCAAACAGACAAAAUAAAUUGUUUACAAAGAGUCGAGAUGCAGAGAGACUAACAGCAAUCACAUAUCCUGCGCAAGUUCCAUUAUUGAGCACAUAUGAUCUAUCAUGGUAGCCAAACUUUUUUGGUUUAUGAUCCUAUGAAAUCAAUCUGUAUAUUCGUCACUCUCCUGAAUCGGAUCGAUGGUUUUCCAAAUCUUCUUUCAUAUAUGCAUGUUGGCCGGGUCAACGCUCUACUAGCCAUUCUAUUCGCUUACUGGCCUCUAUUGUUGGGCAAGACACUUAUCUAGCCAUUCUUGUUGGGCCACGAGCAUAUCCUUUUGCUAAGGAGCCUGAUCUGGUCAUGUUUAACCAACUAUCAAGCUACACAUAGCAUUAGGCAAACGAUCAUAUUAAAUCAGUAGCAAGUUGUAACAAAAAUUAUAUAAUCUAAACAUUUGGAGCAAAAAUAAUCCAUCCAUAACUCUUGCAACUGGUAACAAUAUAAAUAAUCCAAAUAUUUCGGUCAGUAGUAAUCCUCUCAUAUAUAAUCAAAACUCUUGGAUAACAAAACUAUUCCCAGAACUUUCCUUCUUCCAUAUGUCACCAAAACAAUCUAGUUGUCACACCAUUUGCAGAAUCCCGAUUAUAGUCAUCACACCUAAAGACGAUCCUGUGAAAAGUCAUUUGUUAGAGAUUUACUUGCACAUAAAAGAAUGCCUGUAUUGUAAAUUUUGUUGGGCAAAUCCAAUUUGAUAGCGUCUUACUGUAAAUAAAACCAAAGUUUUACUAUACCAGCAUAUAUAUGACUAGCUUGUAGCAUGUAUGUUUCUAGUCUCUAUCAUCUUUUUAUGAUCUUUUUCUUUUCUUUUUGUAUUUUUACAUGUGUACAAGUCUAGCAACUAUUUGAUCCAUCUUAUGCAAUGCAAAGGACCAUCGGAAAUUCAUACAUAUCUAUAUUUAAUUAUUUAUAUGCAUCCGCUCAAAAUGGUAAAGGGAAUUAUAUUAUUACCUGCUGCUGGAUGUUUUCGAGGUUAAUUGUCUCCAUAGCAUGCCUAUCAUAGCACCAAUGGAAUUUGAACAUCUCCAUGGUGUUGUAUGGAAACAUGUCAUGCGAGGAGUAAACUGUCUGUUUUGUUUUUACAGCAAAAAAUAAAAAAAUCAGCAAUAUAAUCACAACCACUUUCUAUCAUAUAAUUAGAAAGUUUUAAAUUUUUUCUUACCUCAUUAUCUAAGUGCUUGAUCACAUUGCUAAAAUAUUGUAACUCAUCUAUGGGAUCAUGAUCGUUGUAUCCUGCUGUCUUGAAUGAGCUAUGGUAGUUGUACACUUCAUGAAAUUCUUUGCCAGCACUUGCAAUUGACUGUGCAAUGUGGACCCUCCUAUUGACACACACUCUCCUAUAAGCAUCCUGCCACUGGUGUAGAUGUUUCUCUGGAGUUGUAAAUGCCAAUGCUCUUGGAACUUGAUGGCAAUUGGGGCGGGGAAGUGGGAAGUGCCGGUAUGGGUAUAAGCCAUUUGGUUUGGCAGGAAUCAAAUCCAUUUGGUGAAGUGCUGCUGGUAUGUAUGCUACCUCUUGCACUGUUGUUUGUAGAUGAGGAUGCCCAGCUAACAGUACAAGAUGCCUUCUGUUUGUUCAAAUGCCAACAAACACGAGAGAAAAAAAAUUUGCUCAAUUAUUCAUCCAUUGAUCUAAAAAUUCCUAUCAUCCAAUUUAUAUGCAUAUAUGUUUAAUA